rnacentral:rRNA from 1 species
UAACAGGAUUAGAUACCCUGGUAGUCCACGCCGUAAACGAUGAGUGCUAAGUGUUGGAGGGUUUCCGCCCUUCAGUGCUGCAGCUAACGCAUUAAGCACUCCGCCUGGGGAGUACGGCCGCAAGGCUGAAACUCAAAGGAAUUGACGGGGACCCGCACAAGCGGUGGAGCAUGUGGUUUAAUUCGAAGCAACGCGAAGAACCUUACCAGGUCUUGACAUCCUUUGACCACUCUAGAGAUAGAGCUUCCCCUUCGGGGACAAAGUGACAGGUGGUGCAUGGUUGUCGUCAGCUCGUGUCGUGAGAUGUUGGGUUAAGUCCCGCAACGAGCGCAACCCUUAUUACUAGUUGCCAGCAUUUAGUUGGGCACUCUAGUGAGACUGCCGGUGACAAACCGGAGGAAGGUGGGGAUGACGUCAAAUCAUCAUGCCCCUUAUGACCUGGGCUACACACGUGCUACAAUGGAUGGUACAACGAGUCGCAAGGUCGCGAGGCCAAGCUAAUCUCUUAAAGCCAUUCUCAGUUCGGAUUGUAGGCUGCAACUCGCCUACAUGAAGCCGGAAUCGCUAGUAAUCGCGGAUCAGAACGCCGCGGUGAAUACGUUCCCGGGUCUUGUACACACCGCCCGUCACACCACGAGAGUUUGUAACACCCGAAGCCGGUGAGGUAACCUUUUAGGAGCCAGCCGUCUAAGGUGGGAUAGAUAAUUGGGGUGAAGUCGUAACAAGGUAACCA